rnacentral:lncRNA from 1 species
UAAUAAAUGACAUUGAAAAUCUAGAAUUAGAUAUACAUUAUAGUACAGAAAGAAUAAAUUAUUAUACACGAAUUUGUAACUCUGUAAUUACUACAGGAUAAAAUAAUUAAUGAAUAUAUCUUACGAAAAAAGUAAAUUAUUAAAAAAUAUUAAAACAAAAUAUCCACGCAUUAAUAAAAAUAGAUUCACUAGAAACCUACUAAAUCUAUUUAAUCUACCUAAUCCGCGCACCCCCUUACAAAUGGUAUCAGAGCACAGCAAAUUAAAGAGUACGGAAGAGAUAUAUAUGUUAGAGUGUAAU